rnacentral:lncRNA from 10 species
GUGAGUGACAGUUUUUAAAUCCAUUACCAUUAGAAAACCACAGGUUUUAAGAAAAUUUUAUUUUCCAUUUAUAUUGAGGUACAAUUGACAUAUAGUAAAUUUCACCCUUUUAAGCACACAGUUCUUAGAAUUUUGAAAUACAGUUAUGUAACCACCACCACAAUCAAGAUACACAACAGUGCCAUCGGCCCCUAAAAUUCCCCCAUGCCUCUUUUGUAACCAUCCCCUCUUCAAACCGCAGCCCUUGGCAACCACUAAUCUGUUUUUCUUCCUGUAGUUUGGCUUUCUUAAGAAUGUCGUAUAAACUGAGUCAUGGAGUAGGUAGCCCUUGGUAUCCUGCUUCUUUCAGCUAGCAUAAUGCAUGUGAGAUCCAUUCAUGCUGUUGUGCAAAACAGUAGUUUGUUUCUUUUUAUUGCUGAGUAAGGAUUUUAUUGUAUGGAAUGUACCAGUUUGUUUAUCCAUUCUCCAGUUGAGAAACAUUUGGGUAGUUUUUAGUUCCUGGUGAUGACAGAUAAAGCUGCUGCAAACAUUCAUGUGCAUAUUUUCGUGAGGAUGUAGUUUUCAUUUCACUUGAGUAAAUGCAAAGCAGUGAGAUUGCUGGGUCAUACAGGGAGGACAAAUGGAUUCCUGAGGUGCAGGGCAAUCAACAGAUGAGAUCCAAGAGUCAGAACCCUGGAAUGGACCACCAGAACUUUCCCAUGGAGCCCCAGGACUUCUUCCCCCAAUUCCUGCUGUUUCUCCUCCUCCCUGUAGCAGGCUUCUUAAAGCAGGUAGUUUGACCUGCUGAGCAUCACAUUGCAUAAAACAAUGCCGGAAGACUUGAGCAAUGGUGACUUACCAAGACAGCUGGCUGCCUAUGUUUAUGGCAUUUGGAAUCCACCGGGAACACAUACAUUUGUCACAGUGUGUUCCCGAAAUAAAUGAGGCUGUCUCCCAACUGGCCCCAUAUAAUCAACGCAGCCCAGCCCCACAUAGCUACUCCAAUGAAUAAUGCUUUGUUUGCCAAAUGCAAUGGGAACCUACCACAGGCCAGGGUGCUUCCAACAACAACAACAACAAGAAACUAAAGACAGUAAGGGAGAAAGAGUGGGUAUAAGCACUUAUCAAUACAUCAGACUGGAAACUCCUAGAAUGGAAUUAUUAGAUGCAUGUAUUAUUUGGGAGCAUUAUGACCAGGAAUAUUAAUAAAACUGUGAAUAGUAUGUAUUCUUUUCAUAAUUUUGACUUAGGGAAGAGGGCAAAAAAAUAACUGUAGCUAGUUUUAGACAUCCAUAAACAAAAUUCUGUAUUACUUUCAGGUAAGACAAGAGCAAUGACAACACAGCACCACAAGCCUUGCCUGGGGUAGAGAGAUAUUAUACAAGGGAAACUGUUUAUUUGUUAGAGAAUCAUACUCAUAAUUCCCUUAAGAGUCUCUUAAUUAAUUCCCCUAAUUAGAACUUUAAUGGGUCUCCCUUUUCAUUUUCUAACAUCUUACACUGGCUACAUCAUUGAAAUAGAAUGAAAAGAAUAAACCUCUCUGCUAUUUUUUUUUAAGGUUGGC